rnacentral:rRNA from 1 species
GACGCUGCGGCAGGCUAACACAUGCAAGUCGAGCGGUAACAGAAAGUAGCUUGCUACUUUGCUGACGAGCGGCGGACGGGUGAGUAAUGCUUGGGAACAUGCCUUGAGGUGGGGGACAACAGUUGGAAACGACUGCUAAUACCGCAUAAUGUCUACGGACCAAAGGGGGCUUCGGCUCUCGCCUUUAGAUUGGCCCAAGUGGGAUUAGCUAGUUGGUGAGGUAAUGGCUCACCAAGGCAACGAUCCCUAGCUGGUUUGAGAGGAUGAUCAGCCACACUGGAACUGAGACACGGUCCAGACUCCUACGGGAGGCAGCAGUGGGGAAUAUUGCACAAUGGGCGAAAGCCUGAUGCAGCCAUGCCGCGUGUGUGAAGAAGGCCUUCGGGUUGUAAAGCACUUUCAGUCAGGAGGAAAGGGUGUGAGUUAAUACCUCACAUCUGUGACGUUACUGACAGAAGAAGCACCGGCUAACUCCGUGCCAGCAGCCGCGGUAAUACGGAGGGUGCGAGCGUUAAUCGGAAUUACUGGGCGUAAAGCGUACGCAGGCGGUUUGUUAAGCGAGAUGUGAAAGCCCCGGGCUCAACCUGGGAACUGCAUUUCGAACUGGCAAACUAGAGUGUGAUAGAGGGUGGUAGAAUUUCAGGUGUAGCGGUGAAAUGCGUAGAGANCUGAAGGAAUACCGAUGGCGAAGGCAGCCACCUGGGUCAACACUGACGCUCAUGUACGAAAGCGUGGGGAGCAAACGGGAUUAGAUACCCCGGUAGUCCACGCCGUAAA